GACGAACGCUGGCGGCGUGCCUAAUACAUGCAAGUCGAGCGGACCAAAGGGAGCUUGCUCCUGGAGGUUAGCGGCGAACGGGUGAGUAACACGUGGGCAACCUGCCUGUAAGACUGGGAUAACAUCGAGAAAUCGGUGCUAAUACCGGAUAAUAAAAAGAACUGCAUGGUUCUUUUUUGAAAGAUGGUUUCGGCUAUCACUUACAGAUGGGCCCGCGGCGCAUUAGCUAGUUGGUGAGGUAACGGCUCACCAAGGCGACGAUGCGUAGCCGACCUGAGAGGGUGAUCGGCCACACUGGGACUGAGACACGGCCCAGACUCCUACGGGAGGCAGCAGUAGGGAAUCUUCCGCAAUGGACGAAAGUCUGACGGAGCAACGCCGCGUGAGUGAUGAAGGUUUUCGGAUCGUAAAACUCUGUUGUUAGGGAAGAACAAGUGCCGUUCGAAAGGGCGGCACCUUGACGGUACCCAACGAGAAAGCCACGGCUAACUACGUGCCAGCAGCCGCGGU
rnacentral:rRNA from 1 species